rnacentral:rRNA from 1 species
AUUGAACGCUGGCGGCAGGCCUAACACAUGCAAGUCGAACGAGUGGCGGACGGGUGAGUAAUGUCUGGGAAACUGCCUGAUGGGGGGGGAUAACUACUGGAAACGGUAGCUAAUACCGCAUACCAUCAGAUGUGCCCAGAUGGGGUUAGCUUGAGGGUGGGGUAACGGCUCACCAAGGCGACGAACCCUAGCUGGUCUGAGAGGAUGACCGGCCAAACUUGAACUGAGAGACGGUCCAGACUCCUACGGCAUGCAGCAGUGGGGAUUAUUGCACAAUGGGCGCAAGACUGAUGCAGCCAUGCCUCGUGUAUGAAGAAGGCCUUCGGGUUGUAAAGUACUUUCAGCGGGGAGGCGUUACCCGCAGAAGAAGCACCGUCUAACUCCGUGCCAGCAGCCGCGUUAAUAC